rnacentral:rRNA from 1 species
CAGGCCUAACACAUGCAAGUCGAACGAUGAAGCCCAGCUUGCUGGGUGGAUUAGUGGCGAACGGGUGAGUAACACGUGAGUAACCUGCCCUUCACUCUGGGAUAACUCCGGGAAACCGGGGCUAAUACUGGAUAUGACUCCUCCUCGCAUGGGGUGGGAGUGGAAAGCUUUUGUGGUGGAGGAUGGACUCGCGGCCUAUCAGCUUGUUGGUGAGGUAGUGGCUCACCAAGGCGACGACGGGUAGCCGGCCUGAGAGGGCGACCGGCCACACUGGGACUGAGACACGGCCCAGACUCCUACGGGAGGCAGCAGUGGGGAAUAUUGCACAAUGGGCGAAAGCCUGAUGCAGCGACGCCGCGUGAGGGAUGAAGGCCUUCGGGUUGUAAACCUCUUUCAGCUCUGAAGAAGCGAAAGUGACGGUAGGAGCAGAAGAAGCACCGGCUAACUACGUGCCAGCAGCCGCGGUAAU